rnacentral:rRNA from 1 species
CAGUAGCCACGGUAAUACGAAGGGCGCAAGCGUUACUCGGAAUUACUGGGCGUAAAGCGUGCGUAGGUGGUGGUUUAAGUCCGUUGUGAAAGCCCUGGGCUCAACCUGGGAAUUGCAGUGGAUACUGGCUCGCUAGAGUGUGUCAGAGGAUGGUGGAAUUCCCGGUGUAGCGGUGAAAUGCGUAGAGAUCGGGAGGAACAUCAGUGGCGAAGGCGGCCAUCUGGGACAACACUGACGCUGAGGCACGAAAGCGUGGGGAGCAAACAGGAUUAGAUACCCCCGUAGUCCCUGUCUCUUAUAC